rnacentral:rRNA from 1 species
AUUGAACGCUAGCGGCAGGCCUUACACAUGCAAGUCGAACGAGUGGCGGACGGGUGAGUAAUGUCUGGGAACGUGCCUGAUGGAGGGGGAUAACUACUGGAAACGGUAGCUAAUACCGCAUACCAUCAGAUUUGCCCAGAUGGGAUUAGCUAGUUGGUGGGGUAAAGGCUCACCAAGGCGACGAUCCCUAGCUGGUCUGAGAGGACGACCAGCCACACUGGAACUGAGACACGGCCCAGAAUCAUACGGGAGGCAGCAGUGGGGAAUUUUGCACAAUGGGGGAAAGCCUGAUGCAGCCAUGCCGCGUGUAUGAAGAAGGCCUUCGGGUUGUAAAGUACUUUUGGCAGGGAGGCGUUACCUGCAGAAUAAGCACCGGCUAACUCCGUGCCAGCAGCCGCGGUAAUUC